rnacentral:rRNA from 1 species
GCAGUCGCCGCGGUAAUACGAAGGGUGCAAGCGUUACUCGGAAUUACUGGGCGUAAAGCGUGCGUAGGUGGUUGUUUAAGUCCGUUGUGAAAGCCCUGGGCUCAACCUAGGAAUUGCAGUGGAUACUGGGUCACUAGAGUGUGGUAGAGGAUAGUGGAAUUUCCGGUGUAGCAGUGAAAUGCGUAGAGAUCGGAAGGAACAUCUGUGGCGAAGGCGACUAUCUGGGCCAACACUGACACUGAGGCACGAAAGCGUGGGGAGCAAACAGGAUUAGAGACCCCCGUAGUCCCUGUCUCUUAUAC